UACGGAGGGUGCAAGCGUUAAUCGGAAUUACUGGGCGUAAAGGGCUCGUAGGUGGCCAACUAAGUCAGACGUGAAAUCCCUCGGCUUAACCGGGGAACUGCGUCUGAUACUGGAUGGCUUGAGUUCGGGAGAGGGAUGCGGAAUUCCAGGUGUAGCGGUGAAAUGCGUAGAUAUCUGGAGGAACACCGGUGGCGAAGGCGGCAUCCUGGACCGACACUGACGCUGAGGAGCGAAAGCCAGGGGAGCAAACGGG
rnacentral:rRNA from 1 species